UUGAAAAUUGUUGCAGGCAGAUACUUGAAAUUUAAUCAAAAGUAACUGCAGUGAUCGGAUAUAGUAAGGUAGACAUCCUCUGCUCAGAAGGUGGGAAGCAGCGAAUAAUUUUGAUGGACCAAGAAUCUCAAGAAGCAAGUAUAUUGCCAUCAUCACUAAGAAGCUCAAGAAAGAAUGAAGCUAUCCAUAAAUUAGGAUAUUGAAUCUUGAUGAGUCCACUAGUAGUUACUUAUCAUCUAAUGUAUUCAGAUUGUAUUAUUGUAUAGAAAUAAUUGCUUCUUAUUAUAAAGAAAGCGCUUUGUACUCACUUGGUGUAUUUUUCUAUUUAUACCUUCAAUAAAAAUUUGUAUUUAUUA